rnacentral:rRNA from 1 species
UGGGGGAAUAUUGCGCAAUGGGCGCAAGCCUGAUGCAGCCAUGCCGCGUGUGUGAAGAAGGCCUUCGGGUUGUAAAGCACUUUCAGCGAGGAGGAAGGUGGUGGACUUAAUACGUUCAUCAAUUGACGUUACUCGCAGAAGAAGCACCGGCUAACUCCGUGCCAGCAGCCGCGGUAAUACGGAGGGUGCAAGCGUUAAUCGGAAUUACUGGGCGUAAAGCGCACGCAGGCGGUUUGUUAAGUCAGAUGUGAAAUCCCCGGGCUCAACCUGGGAACUGCAUUUGAAACUGGCAAGCUAGAGUCUCGUAGAGGGGGGUAGAAUUCCAGGUGUAGCGGUGAAAUGCGUAGAGAUCUGGAGGAAUACCGGUGGCGAAGGCGGCCCCCUGGACGAAGACUGACGCUCAGGUGCGAAAGCGCGGGGAGCAAACAGGAUUAGAUACCCUGGUAGUCCACGCUGUAAACGAUGUCGAUUUUGGAGGUUGUGCCCUUGAGGCGUGGCUUCCGGAGCUAACGCGUUAAAUCGACCGCCUGGGGAGUACGGCCGCAAGGUUAAAACUUAAAUGAAUUGACGGGGUCAUAGCUGUUCCU